rnacentral:rRNA from 1 species
UACGGAGGGUGCAAGCGUUAUCCGGAUUCACUGGGUUUAAAGGGUGCGUAGGCGGAUAGGUAAGUCCGUGGUGAAAUCCUGCAGCUUAACUGCAGAACUGCCAUGGAUACUAUUUAUCUUGAAUGUCGUGGAGGUUAGCAGAAUAUGUCAUGUAGCGGUGAAAUGCUUAGAUAUGACAUAGAACACCCAUUGCGAAGGCAGCUAACUACGCGAUAAUUGACGCUGAUGCACGAAAGCGUGGGGAUCAAACAGG